CUCGUUCAUUAUACCGUCCAUUCGCCUUAGUCUCUGAACUACUGACAUCAUUUCACUAAGACAGAAAAAGAUUCAUAUGCUGCCAAAAAGUGGGAUCUGGGAGGAAAAUGAAUACCCAUCACAUGCAAAGAGAGCAUCUUUGCUUUCUGUGACCUACAGACAAAGAGACAUUCAGCAGCACCUGGUUUGAUAAGCAUCCCUAUUCACUCUGUACUAUAUUUAUGCUUUAUUAAUGAAUGUCAGAACAGACGCAGUGCAGUAAAGACCCCCAGAGACAGAAGGUCAGUUAUAGGAAAAUGAAUGCUGCAAAUUUCAAAUAGAUAAUAUGAGACUUGAGACAGUAAAAAGGACUGUUAAAUCUUCUUAGUCCUUUAUCAAUAACUGCAUAUGAAAAAACACUAAUGUGCCUUUAAAUGACAUGGUCACCAACACCAAUAAAUAAUUAUAUGGCUCUGGAACUGGGGAAAAUGUUGUAUAAUGCUCCUCUAUAGCAGAAAGAUGCCACUGAACAAAACUGAACCAGUUUUGACAGCAAAAGAUAGAUGGUUUGUGCUCAUCUGAGAAAUGUUCUUCAAAUAACUACAUGUGAUUGGCCUGUGGGCUAAGCACGUGUGAUUGACAGGUGCUCCAGCCACUACAGAGAUGCCAUCAAAGGUGUCAUGCCUGUACAUGCUGACUGUGGUCUGCUGGGCCAGUGCUCUGUGGUAUCUCAGCGGCUCCCGCCCCUCAACCACCUACAUGGGUCAGAUGAACUUGGCAGUCCGCAAACCGCUCCCGAGACUCUCAAAUAACAAAACAUUCAGCAACAUCCGCACGCGUUCCCUAAACCCGCACAAUUUCAAGUUCCUAAUCAAUGAGCCCACCAAAUGCGAAGGCAAAACGCCCUUCCUUGUUCUCCUCAUCAGCACCAACCACAAGGAGUUUGAUGCCCGGCAGGCAAUCCGGGAGACGUGGGGCGAUGAGAACACAUUCAGCGAUGUUCGCAUUCUGACACUGUUCCUUCUUGGGUUUAGCUCUGAACCGGUCCUCAACCAGAUGGUGGAACAAGAGAGCCAGAUCUUCCAUGACAUCCUGGUUGAGGACUUUGUGGAUUCCUACCACAAUCUGACCCUGAAAACUGUCAUGGGGAUGCGCUGGGUGUCCUCAUUCUGCCCCAGUGCGCAGUACAUCAUGAAAACGGACAGUGAUAUAUUUGUCAACAUGGACAAUUUAGUGUUUAACUUGCUGAGACCCAAUACCAAGCCAAGGCGGCGCUUUUUUACAGGUCAUGUGAUAAACGGUGGCCCUAUUCGUGACGUCCGCAGCAAGUGGUUCAUGUCCAGAGAGCUCUAUCCUGACAGCAGGUACCCACCCUUCUGCUCUGGCACCGGGUAUGUGUUCUCUGGAGAUGUGGCAGAGUUAAUCUAUAAGACCUCUCUUCAUACAAGACUCCUUUAUCUGGAGGAUGUGUAUGUGGGAAUGUGCCUGCGUAAACUAGGUAUUCAGCCCUUCCAGAACAGUGGAUUUAAUCACUGGAAAAUGACCUACAGUCUCUGUCGUUACCGUAAAGUGUUGACUGUCCAUCAGAUCUCACCAGAGGAGAUACUGAGAAUAUGGAAUGAUAUGUCCAACAAGAAACACCUUAAAUGCUAACAAACACAGGACAUUGUUAAAGGAAUUGUUUACCCCAAAAAAUUUAAAUUCUACUAUAAUUUACUCACUAUCAUGUCAUUUCAAACACAUGUGAUGUAUAAAAGGUUUAUUCACUGAAAACCAGAUGCACAUAGCAUACUGUCAUAUACAAUGCAUCUAAAAUACUUAUUCAUGUAAUGUUUAUCAAAGCCAUGGUAUAACUUACAACAGUAUAGUGCAAUACAGCAUACAAGUAUGGUGCAGUAAAAUGUAUGUACAUAUAAAAUAGGGUGAUCAUAUAGGUCCUCUUUUUUUCCCCAUAUACGACCUUUUUGUUUUUUUGGACCUGAAAAAAGCGCCCGGCCGGGAUUUCAAAACUGGCUAAAAAUGUCAGGAUUUCGGCUUCGUCUUCAUAUUGAUAUGUUCUCUACAGCUUGGAUUGUAAUACAUUCUGUGUUUGAUAUUGCGUAUCAGUUAUCACGUGAUUAUGUGUCCAUAUGCGAGUAUUCCAUCUGAGAGUGCCAGAGUGCACACUCUUUCAAAAUACUUUUUUUACUCAAUUUCCCUCUCUCACUCACCCAUCCACUCUCUGUGCCCGCUGUAUGUGUGUGUGUGCAAGAGAUCACCAGAGCUUUCCGCUAAGCCCGAAAUAUCAAUAACGUAAGUACACUUUUAAAAGUGCACUCCCCCAACUCUGCGAAUUAUUAAACAGAACACCUGUUUUAUCAGACUCGCGCUUGAAACGCAUUUUUUAUUUUUUUUAAGUGAAAAUGUUGACUUUAUCGAGACAACAUCAAAUAUAUUACGGAUCAGGGAUAUUUAAAAUAACAUGAUGGAUAAAAAUAGGCAACGAUUGACAUUUUACAAUGCAGUCCAUUAGAUAUUUGUAGUGCAACCUAUGUAUGUGACCUGUAAAGCUGGCACUUGCGUGUCAGUGGCAAAAAAGACAAAAUACAAUGCACAAGUACACAGGUCAGGCCAUGAAGGGGGUGAAACAAGCCCUGCAUCUGUCUCAAAAAUAAUUGUAAGAUUUACGCAUUUCAAUUUCAUAAAGUUCCAUCAAAUUGAAAUGAGUAAUUAACGUGUUAACAAAGUAAAAUUUUAGUUUUUUUUUUUUUUUUUUUUUUUGAAUUUUGAAUUUUGCUAUGAAUUUGAAAUGUGUAAAUCUUAAAAACAGGCAAAAAUAUAUUUUUGAGUUUAUUCACAUACUAUCCAUAUAUAAUAUUAUGUGCCAAGCACAAACCGCCAGCCAGAGGAGAGUUUGUAAUAAUAUUUGACCUUCAGGAAAGUACCCAGGCACAGCAGGAGAACUGAAAAGUGAAGUUCUUAUAAGUGAGGUAUAAAGAAUAUUUUUAAUUUUCUGUUUUUUAUUUUAUGAUAUAUAUAUAUAUAUUUUGGCCAUUCUUAAAUGUAUUAAUAAUAAAUUAAUAGAAAAGUAAGGACACAUCCACACUAAUCUGUUUUUGCUUAUAAAAUUCAGUUUUCUGACAUCAUCGUUAUGGAAAGUUAUGGAAAGCAUUUUCGGUGUAGGAAAAUGUUGUUCUAGUAUGGAUGGUGAUGACUGUAGGGGCCCACAGGUCUGGGGGGGGGGGGGCGCACAACAAAUUCUAAACUGUAUUUUUUAAUAGGAAAGGGGCCCAAAGCAAUAUACAGUCAGGGGCCCCAGAAUACCCAGCUACGGCUCUGGAUGAGAGUAGUAAAAUGUAUAUUUUUUUCAAACAAAAACAUAUUCGUGUGGAUGUGGCCUAGGCAACAGGGCUGCGUUUCCCAAUAACGAUCGAUCUUAGCGGUUAAGAGCGUUUUCUACGAGCAAUUUUACGAAUGCUCAUUAUAUUUUACGUGCGUUUCCCAAAACUGCACUUAGCAUGAACUGGUGAGGAUGCGCUUUAAGAGCUACUUAAUAGAGUCACUGUCCAUGUGACAGUGCUGAAAUGUGACAGUAUAGUGCUGUUCGUCAUUGUAACUUCAUUAUAUUUGUGCAUAACUUUACAAUUUGUAAUUUACCUGGCUAAAAUGUUUUUUAUUUUUUUAUUUCUUAAAUAUUCAACCUAAUUAACUGCAUAUUUACAUAUUGAUUUUACAGUCAUUUUGUGCAAAACUAUCUUUUUCUUUUACACAGUCUGCUUCCAUAAUCACGUGUGCAUUUAUAAUAUUUCUUUUUCACAAAUUCCUCUCAAUAUAAAAGCUUCCAGGAUUACUGAAGACAGUGGAGGACCUGUAUAUGAUCCUGCUAAUUAAAAGCAUUCAUUGAAUAUUAUUCCGUGAUGUCACAGAGCACAAAAUAAGAAGACGUUUAGAAGAUGAGCUUUAUGGACAUUCACCAAUAAAGUGAAGGUCUGCUCUUUACUCCCAAAAGUGACAACGGUGACAGCAAUGCUGCAUGUGUGGUGCUACACAACUUGUAGUGCUGGUGAGAGAGCCUUUGGGUGUCAGAGAGGAAGAGGAGACGAGGAUAAAAGCGUCUGCCAAAUGAAUAAAUGUAAAUGAAGGAUGAUGAGCAAAUAUAUACGGACGAUUUUCAUGCACGGCAGCUGCUCUCAUCUGUGGUGGCUCCUUGGAGGGUGAGCAGAAGUGGUGUGUGUUUUGCUGUGGGCGUUGCUUGUGCCUUUGGGCUGUUCUGAAGCAGAUCCUCAGUGUUGGAGACUUUACAACUGAUUCCACAGCCAGGAACUGCUUGGAAGUCAUAGCAGUAACCCAGACUUUCUGUUCCCAACUCCUGCAGAGAGACAGAAAGAGGAAGAUGGAAGACAUAGAGAAAGAGAGAGAGAGAUACAAGAAAUGACAAAAUGACUGAGGGAUAGAGAUUUCCCCAAAUAUCUGAAACUCCAAUGAACUCAUGUACUUUUCACAUGUAGGUACUUCGGUACACUGUACUUGUGAGGGCCAAAUUUCCAACAAAUAGAGUAAAACAAACUCCUUUGCUACUAAAAAAGGUUAAUAAAUAAAGCAAAUAACCUUUCAUUAAAAUAACUGCCAAAACAUGUCUGUAAAGGUUAGAAUAAAAAAUGGCAAAUAGCUCAAAGGAACUUUUCACCCAAAAAUUAAAACUCAGUCAUCAUUUUGUUCCAAACCUGUAUGACUUUCUUUCUUCCGUGUAACACUUUUUUGUAGUCACUUUUAACCGUCAUUGCAGUGAAAGUAAAUGGUGACUGAGGUUGUCCAUCCUUAACAUUCUGCCUAACAUCUCCAUUUGUUUCCAUGAGGGUUUGGAUUAACAUGGGGGUGAAUAAACAAAGGUUCUUCCAUCAUUUACUCACCCUUUCUUUCUUUCAUGGGACACAUAAGGAGAUGUCAGGCAGAAGGUUAACCUACGUCCCCGUUGACUUUCAUUGUAUAGAAAAAAAAGAUGCAAUGAAAGUGAAUGGUAACUGAGGCUGUCAGUCUCGAACAUUAUGCGUGACAUCUCGUUUUGUGUUUCAUGGAAGAAAUUAAGUCAUACGGGAUUGGAACAGCAUUGGGGUGAAUAAAUAAUUGUAAGAACAACAGAAGUCUUUGGAGGACCUGCCAGUUUCCAUUGACUCCAUCAUACAAUUCUAUACUGAAAUGUAAAAAAUUGUAUGCGUGCUAAUUUUCUCAAACCUCUUUGCAAUAUUUGGCAACAGCCAUGCCCAAUGGAUGUUCACUGCUGGCCUCAGCGGUGCCUACCACAGCCAGAAACUUCCAGA